UACGUAGGGACCAAGCGUUGUUCGGAUUUACUGGGCGUAAAGGGCGCGUAGGCGGCAUGACAAGUCACUUGUGAAAUCUCCGGGCUUAACUCGGAACGGCCAAGUGAAACUGUCAAGCUAGAGUGCGGAAGGGGCAAUCGGAAUUCUUGGUGUAGCGGUGAAAUGCGUAGAUAUCAAGAGGAACACCUGAGGUGAAGACGGGUUGCUGGGCCGACACUGACGCUGAUGCGCGAAAGCCAGGGAGCAAACGGG
rnacentral:rRNA from 1 species